rnacentral:rRNA from 1 species
AUUGAACGCUGGCGGAAUGCUUUACACAUGCAAGUCGAGCGGCAGCGCGGGGGCAACCCUGGCGGCGAGCGGCGAACGGGUGAGUAACAUAUCGGAACGUACCCAGUCGUGGGGGAUAACUAUCCGAAAGGAUAGCUAAUACCGCAUACGUCCUGAGGGAGAAAGCGGGGGAUCGCAAGACCUCGCGCGAUUGGAGCGGCCGAUAUCGGAUUAGCUAGUUGGUGGGGUAAAGGCUCACCAAGGCGACGAUCCGUAGCGGGUCUGAGAGGACGACCCGCCACACUGGAACUGAGACACGGUCCAGACUCCUACGGGAGGCAGCAGUGGGGAAUUUUGGACAAUGGGGGCAACCCUGAUCCAGCCAUUCCGCGUGAGUGAAGAAGGCCUCGGUUGUAAG